rnacentral:tRNA from 1 species
AGGUAAUUAGUUUAAAUAAAACAUUUGAUUUCGGCUCAAAAACUUAUGGUUAAAAUCCAUAAUAACCUA